rnacentral:rRNA from 1 species
UACGGAAGGCAGCACUGGGGAAUAUUGCACAAUGGGCGAAAGCCUGAUGCAGCUAUGCCGCGUGUAUGAAGAAGGCCUUAGGGUUGUAAAGUACUUUCAUCGGGGAGGAAAAACAAAACUAAUAAUUUUAUUUCUUGACGUUACCCGAAAAAGAAGCACCGGCUAACUCCGUGCCAGCAGCCGCGGUAAUACGGAGGGUGCUAGCGUUAAUCAGAAUUACUGGGCGUAAAGAGCACGUAGGUGGUUUUUUUAAGUCAGAUGUGAAAUCCCUGGGCUUAACCUAGGAACUGCAUUUUGAAACUGAAAUACUAGAGUAUCGUAGAGGGAGGUAGAAUUCUAGGUGUAGCGGUGAAAUGCGUAGAUAUCUGGAGGAAUACCUGUGGCGAAAGCGGCCUCCUAAACGAAUACUGACACUGAGGUGCGAAAGCGUGGGGAGCAAACAGGGAUUAGAUACC